CUAGCUACGUCUGUACCAGUGCAGCCCGACACCUCCACGGAACAGCAGGUUUUUUCACCCAAAGAGCAGUGGGCUGAUGAAAAAGCUGAGAACCUCGUCUAUGAACCAACAGAGACCAUAGCUGAGGAAGAGCCUGUGAUUGUGCUUGAUCUGGUUCCUGUUUCUCCUCCUAUUGUUCCUUCUUCUCCGGCUUUCCAGAAGAAGAAAAGAGCCAGAAGCACCUCUCCACCUGCCUCUCCUCCUACUCUGCCAUCUGUCUCUCCCAUAGACCAGCCAAAUCAACAUUCAUAUGAAUCGCCUGCUGCCCAUGCCAUCUCGUUACGUCAGGGUGGCCUAUUUGAAAAUAAGAAGAGAAAGGGUUGCCGGAAAUGUAGCAGACAAAAGGUGUUCCUGUUUGACUCAAUCACUGGGCAUAGGACUAAUGCGGGCAAAGAGGAAGUAAAAAUCCAUUGGUUGCCCUGCUCUGCUUGCGGGAAAAUCUGGGAUGACACCUGGGAACCUGCAAGUGAAUUCACACAUGUUGCUGUCCCCCAAGAGCUUCUUCCUUCAGACAGCAAACAAGUCCUUCCAUGAUGUUGCUCUUUCUUUUUUUGUGUUACAAAGUUGUAAUUUCCAUUUUUCUAUAACUGCAGUUUGACUAUAUUAAAAAGUUUUCUGUGUAAUAUUGUUUUCGGCUUAUUUUGGGCUGUUUAUUGACACGUCUUUGUCAUGUUCUGUAAAAGACUGAGUGAUGCUGGUUGAGUCACUGCAUGAACAAGUUAUUUUGCCUGUAUUGAGGCUUCAAAUUUUGAACAGGAUUGUUUGUACAUUUUGGCUUGUAAUAGAUGACCUAAUGUCUUAAAUCCUUUAAACAUUUGUUUUUGAGUGUUUUGAAGGUUGAUGUGGAUGUACAAAGUAUAGUCUAUUAAAAUAGAAAAAAAAUGUAUAAAUAUAACUUAAUGUAAAUAUAACUAAUUGGAAGUUGUUUCAUGCCAAGAAGCAUGAAAAUUUCAACAAUUCAACAUCACCUUUUUUGUGUCAUGUAUUUUGUCAAUCGAGAUUGUAUUUGUGAAAUGCUAUAAUAAAAUUGCUUUCAAA